rnacentral:rRNA from 1 species
AUGAGUUUGUGGGACAGAGCUGCUUCAUUGGCGCCGAAGAUAAGUUCGACAUCAACGCCAGCACCAACAUUGCUAUCUAUCGACGUUGAAAACCAAGUUCAAGAUCAACCUCGGCAUGGAUCGAUGUCGUCGCCAGUACUACCUCUGCCCACGGCUGCACCGCCUCUGCUCCCCAUCAUUCAGUUGGACGGAGAGAGCGGUUACCUCCGCUGGAAGGAGUCAGUGCUGCUCCGCCUCCACACUAUUGGUGUGGCCGACGUCCUGACCGAGGAGCGCCCUCCCGACGAGAAGACGGCUGCCGGCAAGCAGUGGGCGCACAUGGAUGCAUUGUGCCGUGGCCACAUCCUCGCCACGCUCUCCGACCGCCUCCUUCCGGUCUACGCUCCCCACGCCACUGCAGCUGCCGUGUGGCGCGCCGUGGCGCGCACCUACGAUCUGGACCUAACGGUGGAUGUUCCGCUUCGAAGCGUGCCCUAUGUGAAGGCCAUCACAUUCCAGUACACGGAGGACGAGCCCGUCACGGAACAGCUCGCGCUCCUGGAGGGCUUGACCACCAACGCAAAACUCGAUAACUCUACCUUGUGUUUCAUUGUGAAGCAGUUCCCGACAUUGAGUGAGAAGGUCGCCACGCAUGACUACCGUCUGAGCAUGGACGAGAUCUGGGAGAUCGCUCGGCGGAAGGAGCGGGUGGCCAGGGUACAGGAUAUUCGCCGUGCCAGGGACGAUCCGCAGACGUCAGACGGGCAAGGCAGCUUCUCAGAUGGGGGACCGGCAUCCAGAGACGAUGGCGGAGGAAGAGAGGACGGAGGACAUGAUUCAGAUGCGGCGAGCUUGUUAGAUGGUUGA